rnacentral:rRNA from 1 species
AUUGAACGCUGGCGGAAUGCUUUACACAUGCAAGUCGAACGGCAGCACGGGGGCAACCCUGGUGGCGAGUGGCGAACGGGUGAGUAACACAUCGGAACGUGCCCAGUCGUGGGGGAUAACGUAGCGAAAGCUACGCUAAUACCGCAUACGAACUCUGGUUGAAAGCGGGGGACUCGCAAGGGCCUCGCGCGAUUGGAGCGGCCGAUGGCAGAUUAGGUAGUUGGUGGGGAAAGGCCUACCAAGCCGACGAUCUGUAGCUGGUCUGAGAGGACGACCAGCCACACUGGGACUGAGACACGGCCCAGACUCCUACGGGAGGCAGCAGUGGGGAAUAUUGGACAAUGGGCGCAAGCCUGAUCCAGCAAUGCCGCGUGUGUGAAGAAGGCC